GUAGGUGGCAAGCGUUGUCCGGAAUUAUUGGGCGUAAAGCGCGCGCAGGCGGUUCUUUAAGUCUGAUGUGAAAGCCCACGGCUCAACCGUGGAGGGUCAUUGGAAACUGGAGAACUUGAGUACAGAAGAGGAAAGCGGAAUUCCACGUGUAGCGGUGAAAUGCGCAGAGAUGUGGAGGAACACCAGUGGCGAAGGCGGCUUUCUGGUCUGUAACUGACGCUGAGGCGCGAAAGCGUGGGGAGCAAACAGGAUUAGAUACCCUGGUAGUCCACGCCGUAAACGAUGAGUGCUAAGUGUUAGGGGGGUUUCCGCCCCCCUUAGUGCUGCAGCUAACGCAUUAAGCACUCCGCCUGGGAGUACGGCCGCAAGGCUG
rnacentral:rRNA from 1 species